CCCAACUAGUACAGUAUAUAGUAUACUACUUUAGACCAGGGCCCAACUAGUACAGUAUAUAGUAUACUACUUUAGACCAGGGCCCGGCUAGUGCAGCAUACUGUACAGGGAUGCCAUUUCAGACAGACGGCGAUAUGAGUUGACACGUCUUGGGUUGUGUUCGUUGCCAGUCAGUCAACCCAUGAGCCAAUCAGUUCAGUCCGGCGCCGUGAGUCUUCCUAACUGUGCUGAGGCAGGGAUGUAGAGACCAAUUUGUUUAGAUAUCCAAAAGACUUAGCUGACUAGUAUAGCAACAACGCAACAGUCUAUACAGACCUUAAUGAGGAGACAGCAGUCUAUAUAGACCAUAAUGAGGAGAAAACAGUCUAUAUAGACCUUAAUGAGGAGACAACAGUCUAUAUAGACCAUAAUGAGGAGACAGCAGUCUAUAUAGGCCCUAAUGAGGAGACAACAGUCUAUAUAGACCUUAAUGAGGAGACAACAGUCUAUAUAUACCCUAGUGAGGAGAAAACAGUCUAUAUAUAUCCUAAUGAGGAGACAACAGUCUAUAUAGACCCUAGUGAGGAGACAACAGUCUAUAUAGACCCUAGUGAGGAAACAACAGUCGUUAUAGACCCUAAUGAGGGGACAACAGUCUAUAUUGACCCUAAUGAGGGGACAACAGUCUAUAUAGACCCUAGUGAGGAGACAACAGUCUAUAUAGACCCUAGUGAGGAGACAACAGUCUAUAUAGACCCUAGUGAGGAGACAACAGUCUAUAUAGACCCUAGUGAGGAGACAACAGUCUAUAUAGACCCUAGUGAGGAGACAACAGUCUAUAUAGACCCUAGUGAGGAAACAACAGUCGUUAUAGACCCUAAUGAGGAAACAACAGUCUAUAUAGACCCUAAUGAGGGGACAACAGUCUAUAUAGACCCUAGUGAGGAGACAACAGUCUAUAUAGACCCUAAUGAGGAGACAACAGUCUAUAUAGACCCUAAUGAGGGGACAACAGUCUAUAUAGACCCUAUAUAUAAUCUUUGUGUUUAAUAUGUCUAUUUUAUUUCGAUCCCUAUUCCAUAUGUAGUGCACUGCUUUUGACCAGAGCCUUUGCCUUUAAAGUAGUGCACUAUGUAGGGAAUAGUGUCCCAUUAGGGACAAACAGGGCUGACGGUAGAGCUGGUUAACAGAAUUACUGGCUAACAGAAUUACUCAUCAUUUACUGUCAUUUAGCUCACGUUGUUUUAGUGUGCAGCUUAAUCAUGACUUCAGAAAGCAGAAAAAUAACCAUUAGAAACUAGCAGAUGACUUUGACAAAGCUCUUUCAGUCUCUUGUUCUGGCCCUUUAAUGAUGUCAUAAAUUGUCAAUUCAAAAACACUCCGGUUUCAACAGGGAGACUGUUUUCUAAUUGACUGGUUAGGGGGGUUGUUUACAAGGUUUCCACUGAACUUGUGACUUGAUUUUAUUAGAAACACAGAGAGGGUUCUACAAGUACACAGAGAGGGUUCUACAAGUCCACAGAGAGGGUUCUACAAGUACACAGAGAGGGUUCUACAAGUACACAGAGAGGGUUCUACAAGUCCACAGAGAGGGUUCUACAUGUACACAGAGAGGGUUCUACAAGUCCACAGAGAGGGUUCUACAUGUACACAGAGAGGGUUCUACAUGUACACAGAGAGGGUUCUACAUGUACACAGAGAGGGUUCUACAAGUACACAGAGAGGGUUCUACAAGUACACAGAGAGGGAUCUACAAGUCCACAGAGAGGGUUCUACAAGUCCACAGAGAGGGUUCUACAAGUCCACAGAGAGGGGUCUACAAGUCCACAGAGAGGGGUUUACAAGUACACAGAGAGGGUUCUACAAGUCCACAGAGAGGGAUCUACAAGUCCACAGAGAGAGGUCUACAAGUCUACAGAGAGGGGUCUACAAGUACCACAGAGUAGGUUCUACAAGUCCACAGAGAGGGUUCUACAAGUCCACAGAGAGGGUUCUACAAGUACCACAGAGUAGGUUCUACAAGUCCACAGAGAGGGUUCUACAAGUCCACAGAGAGGGUUCUACAAGUACCACAGAGUAGGUUCUACAAGUCCACAGAGAGGGUAAUACAAGUCCACAGAGAGGGUUCUACAAGUCCACAGAUAGGAUCUACAAGUCCACAGAAAGGGUUGUAUAAGUUCUUCCCCCUCUCUAGCGGAAAUUCCCCUACAAAUAUUGAUCCGUCAUAAACUGGACUUACACUGAGUGUACCAAACAUUAGGACACUCAGUCUAUGUCAAGGAAAGAGCAUGUGUUCUUAAUGUUUUGUAUACUCAGUGUACGUGCCCUUUGUAGACAUAAACACCUGCCCUGAAAAUGUCAAUACAUGGCCCUGGCAAUUCUCCUGAAGUGUCCUACUAUGCUAUAGAAGUUCCAUGGAACUUUCCUGCCUCACCUGAGAGUAGAGGAGGUGAGAGACCGCCCUUUCUGGGAAAAUAACAACAUUUUGUCUCCUCCCCCAAAGCUUUAAAUAGGAGCACACACACUCUUCUCUCUCAAACACAAAGUUUUGUCGUAGGAUAGUUUGUUGCUGGGCUGAAAAUCUUCCUGAACCUGUUCCUGACCUACGCUCCUAAGCACAGAUCUAGGAUCAGCUCAUCCUCAUCAAAUCCAAACCAGGACCUUAUUAAACCACGAGGGGAACACUGACCUCAGACCAGCGUUUAAACCCCACGUCUUCCUGCCAAGACACUGACACUCCGUCCAGAAGUCCUCUGCGCUCCAGCUGUCCAUCCAUCCGUCCGUCCAUCCAUCCAUCCAUCCGUCCGUCCAUCCAUCCAUCCAUCCAUCCAUCCAUCCAUCCAUCCAUCCAUCCAUCCAUCCACACCCCAGCCAGCCAGCCAGCCAUGGGUCUGAUGAGCGAGGACAUGGAGUGCUGUGUCUGCCUCCAGCCCUACUCUCGCAGGGAGAAGAUCCCUCGGAUGCUCCACUGUAAGCACACAUUCUGUGGGCUGUGCUUGCAGGCGAUGUCCAGGCUCCAAAGCGGCCUACUGACAGUCUGCUGCCCCCUGUGCCGUUGGAUCACCUGCACCGAGCCCAGCCUCACCCUGUCGGGGUCGCUGUGGGUUAACACUGAGAUAUGGGACCAGAUACUAGACAGACAACAGGAAGAGGAGGAGGAGGAAGAGGAGGAAGCUAAAAGACAGACACGGACCACUACACAGUACACAUGGUCUCCAUCAAUGCAUUGUGGCCUGAUGCUUAAACUACAGGAUUUCCUGAGGAGGAUGAAGCACAAUGUACUGUAAACCGAGAAGACGAAGAGCAGAGAAAAAGAAGACUGGAUUUUCCCAUUUCAGAGCAGGAGAUACUCAUUGAGUAAUGAAGCUAAUUCAUAAAACAGGACCGACCGGUGACUUUACAUAAUGAAGCAAGAUUGAACCAAUUAUUCAUAUGCUUUGUGUUUGAUUGACUUUGGGAAUGUGUAAUGUUCUCAGUCAACUUACCUGGUAAAAUAAGGGUUAAAUUAUAAUAUUAAUAAUAAAGGAUGGAUAGGUGGAGGAAAUAAAACAUAAGAUAUUAAAUGGAUUGAGGAAGAAAGAAAGAUAAAGGAAGUUAUGAAUAGAUGGACAGACAUAGAUAGAUAGAUAGAUAGAUAGAUAGAUAGUUAGAUAGAUAGAUAGAGGGGUGAAGGUUAGAGACUGUGUAUUGUACAAUGUGUUCUGUGUACAAUACAAUAUACUGUGAACAAUGUUUAUAAUAGAUGUUUAAUGAUUUGAUAAAAGGUGUAUUACUGUGUGAAGGGAAGUGGAGGUUUAGUAUUUAUUAUGACAUCAUUUUAGAACAGCUUUAAUAUUGCAUAUUGUUUCUUUAAUCAAUGUAAUUGUCUGCAUCAUUUCCAGUCCCCCAAAUCAGGGAUGUUGGAUUUGUUUAUCCUCAUUGGACAUGUUUAAUUCAUCUGUUCUGUUUGAAGAGCAGGUUUUUUUAUCCUGGAAUUAUAUUUAUUGGUUAAUAAAUACAUCCAAUUUAAAAUAACCCUGUCUUAGAGUUGUGAAAUAGCUUAUUAUUAUCAUUACAUUAGGAAAGUAACUGUCUGAUAUCCAACUAUUUAUGGACCCCAGAUAGAGUUGGGGGUGUUAAUACACUACACAUUCUACACUACUAUUUCCUAAAACACAAAACAAACCCUAAACAUUCCACUGUCCUUGGUUUUGAUGUGUGCAGGACAUGACUGAAAUCACUCUCUGUCUAAUCAUGUCUCAGAGAACCCUGUAUGCAUUCUUGCAUAUGAGAUUCCAUAAAAACACAUCACUUUGUUAAAGAUACGACCAAAAUUAACAUUUU